AUUAUGGAGAGUUUGAUCCUGGCUCAGGACGAACGCUGGCGGCAUGCCUAAUACAUGCAAGU
rnacentral:rRNA from 1 species